UGGCUUAGAGGUUAAAGCGUCUGCCUGCAAUGCAGGAGACCUGGGUUCGAUCCCUG
rnacentral:tRNA from 1 species